rnacentral:rRNA from 1 species
AUUGAACGCUGGCGGCAGGCCUAACACAUGCAAGUCGAGCGGAUGAGUGGAGCUUGCUCCAUGAUUCAGCGGCGGACGGGUGAGUAAUGCCUAGGAAUCUGCCUGGUAGUGGAGGACAACGUUUCGAAAGGAACGCUAAUACCGCAUACGUCCUACGGGAGAAAGUGGGGGAUCUUCGGACCUCACGCUAUCAGAUGAGCCUAGGUCGGAUUAGCUAGUUGGUGAGGUAAAGGCUCACCAAGGCGACGAUCCGUAACUGGUCUGAGAGGAUGAUCAGUCACACUGGAACGGAGACACAGUCCAGACUCCUACGGGAGGCAGCAGUGGGGAAUAUUGGACAAUGGGCGAAAGCCUGAUCCAGCCAUGCCGCGUGUGUGAAGACGGUCUUCGGAUUGUAAAGCACUUUAAGUUGGGAGGAAGGGCAGUAAGUUAAUACCUUGCUGUUUUGACGUUACCAACAGAAUAAGCACCGGCUAACUACGUGCCAGCCGCCGCCGUAAAAC